rnacentral:lncRNA from 1 species
CUCCGCCAAGUAGGUAAAAUCGAGUUACUACAGACCUAUUUGGCAUCCAAGAGAAGGGUGUGGUCCUAGCUUUAACACGUCUGUUUUGGCCCAGAGACCAGAAUCUUCCCCAGAUAAGUAACCACAUCGUGAAUGGUAAAGUAGCAGUUCCUCAAGACAGUCACCCAUGGGUUUGAUGAACAGUUAAACAACUUCAGAGGCAACCACCGAACCACCAGAUAACUAAAUUGCUGCAGUACACCAAACUACCACCUGACGUCUCCCGAAGAAUAUCUUGAGCUGUGGAUAACCUAGGACAGCACCGGAAGAAGCCUUCACACCACAAGCUGUUUUUAAUAGAAUCUCGUACUUGCCUGUCGACAGAGAGAAUUAUUUUUUAUAUAAAGUAACUUCAUAAUGGCUAGAAUGUAGAUCCUGGAUAAUAAUUGAUGAAAUGAGAAAAUAAAGCAUUUAUACCGAAA